rnacentral:lncRNA from 1 species
CAGGCCAUGAGCUCAUGCGUCGGUUGUCUACCCGCAACCCGACGUUACUCGGAGCGAACCCCGAAUAUGGUUUCUCUACUGUGUCAAUUAGACACCUUGGCAUCACGGUUACCCGUGUCAAUUAGGCCUCAUCAUAAUAAUGUGUAUCACAGUAAGAAACAGUCCUAUCAAUUAGGCGAACAUUCCCGCAUUAGCAAUCUCAGGCUAUCCGUUAGGCGG